rnacentral:rRNA from 2 species
AGUCGAACGAACUCUGGUAUUGAUUGGUGCUUGCAUCAUGAUUUACAUUUGAGUGAGUGGCGAACUGGUGAGUAACACGUGGGAAACCUGCCCAGAAGCGGGGGAUAACACCUGGAAACAGAUGCUAAUACCGCAUAACAACUUGGACCGCAUGGUCCGAGCUUGAAAGAUGGCUUCGGCUAUCACUUUUGGAUGGUCCCGCGGCGUAUUAGCUAGAUGGUGGGGUAACGGCUCACCAUGGCAAUGAUACGUAGCCGACCUGAGAGGGUAAUCGGCCACAUUGGGACUGAGACACGGCCCAAACUCCUACGGGAGGCAGCAGUAGGGAAUCUUCCACAAUGGACGAAAGUCUGAUGGAGCAACGCCGCGUGAGUGAAGAAGGGUUUCGGCUCGUAAAACUCUGUUGUUAAAGAAGAACAUAUCUGAGAGUAACUGUUCAGGUAUUGACGGUAUUUAACCAGAAAGCCACGGCUAACUACGUGCCAGCAGCCGCGGUAAUACGUAGGUGGCAAGCGUUGUCCGGAUUUAUUGGGCGUAAAGCGAGCGCAGGCGGUUUUUUAAGUCUGAUGUGAAAGCCUUCGGCUCAACCGAAGAAGUGCAUCGGAAACUGGGAAACUUGAGUGCAGAAGAGGACAGUGGAACUCCAUGUGUAGCGGUGAAAUGCGUAGAUAUAUGGAAGAACACCAGUGGCGAAGGCGGCUGUCUGGUCUGUAACUGACGCUGAGGCUCGAAAGUAUGGGUAGCAAACAGGAUUAGAUACCCUGGUAGUCCAUACCGUAAACGAUGAAUGCUAAGUGUUGGAGGGUUUCCGCCCUUCAGUGCUGCAGCUAACGCAUUAAGCAUUCCGCCUGGGGAGUACGGCCGCAAGGCUGAAACUCAAAGGAAUUGACGGGGGCCCGCACAAGCGGUGGAGCAUGUGGUUUAAUUCGAAGCUACGCGAAGAACCUUACCAGGUCUUGACAUACUAUGCAAAUCUAAGAGAUUAGACGUUCCCUUCGGGGACAUGGAUACAGGUGGUGCAUGGUUGUCGUCAGCUCGUGUCGUGAGAUGUUGGGUUAAGUCCCGCAACGAGCGCAACCCUUAUUAUCAGUUGCCAGCAUUAAGUUGGGCACUCUGGUGAGACUGCCGGUGACAAACCGGAGGAAGGUGGGGAUGACGUCAAAUCAUCAUGCCCCUUAUGACCUGGGCUACACACGUGCUACAAUGGAUGGUACAACGAGUUGCGAACUCGCGAGAGUAAGCUAAUCUCUUAAAGCCAUUCUCAGUUCGGAUUGUAGGCUGCAACUCGCCUACAUGAAGUCGGAAUCGCUAGUAAUCGCGGAUCAGCAUGCCGCGGUGAAUACGUUCCCGGGCCUUGUACACACCGCCCGUCACACCAUGAGAGUUUGUAACACCCAAAGUCGGUGGGGUAACCUUUUAGGAACCAGCCGCC